GCCCUGAGCCCUAGACCUGUCUCUGCCGUAGAGAUCAGAACCGUGCCGACGCCACCUUCUUCUUCCCUUGCCCUCUCUGCCCCAACGUCUCUGUUUGGGUUGUUUCCGGCCAAGAGCAAGGAGGAUUUAAAUCCGAUGUUUCUUCCUCGUGCCUAGCUUGUAUUCCUUCUCAGUCGCCACUCGUCUGCUCGAUCACAUCAGCGACUUCUUGCUUGAUCCGGUUGAUAUCAGUGUGGUUCAGUGAGCAGGAAUUGUGUACGGUGGGGAGUUCAUGGUUUUGGUAGCAAACCAUACAACAAUUCCUUAUUCCAGCAGCAGUAGACACACCGGUGAUUUCCAGCCGUGGUUUACACUCUGAUCACGAGGCAUCAGUGAUUAUCAUCAGAUUUGGACUUUGAUUUGAGACUGUGUCUCGGCGAGGGAUCU